AACGAACGCUGGCGGCAUGCCUAACACAUGCAAGUCGAACGAAGCCUUCGGGCUUAGUGGCGCACGGGUGCGUAACGCGUGGGAAUCUGCCCCUUGCUUCGGAAUAACAGUUAGAAAUGACUGCUAAUACCGGAUGAAGUCUUCGGACCAAAGAUUUAUCGGCAAGGGAUGAGCCCGCGUAGGAUUAGGUAGUUGGUGGGGUAAAGGCCUACCAAGCCGACGAUCCUUAGCUGGUCUGAGAGGAUGAUCAGCCACACUGGGACUGAGACACGGCCCAGACUCCUACGGGAGGCAGCAGUGGGGAAUAUUGGACUAUGGACGCAAGUCUGAUCCAGCAAUGCCGCGUGAGUGAUGAAGGCCUUAGGGUUGUAAAGCUCUUUUACCAGGGAUGAUAAUGACAGUACCUGGAGAAUAAGCUCCGGCUAACUCCGU
rnacentral:rRNA from 1 species